UGCUAUACAUGCAAGUCGAACGAGUUCUCGUUGAUGAUCGGUGCUUGCACCGAGAUUCAACAUGGAACGAGUGGCGGACGGGUGAGUAACACGUGGGUAACCUGCCCUUAAGUGGGGGAUAACAUUUGGAAACAGAUGCUAAUACCGCAUAGAUCCAAGAACCGCAUGGUUCUUGGCUGAAAGAUGGCGUAAGCUAUCGCUUUUGGAUGGACCCGCGGCGUAUUAGCUAGUUGGUGAGGUAAUGGCUCACCAAGGCGAUGAUACGUAGCCGAACUGAGAGGUUGAUCGGCCACAUUGGGACUGAGACACGGCCCAAACUCCUACGGGAGGCAGCAGUAGGGAAUCUUCCACAAUGGACGCAAGUCUGAUGGAGCAACGCCGCGUGAGUGAAGAAGGCUUUCGGGUCGUAAAACUCUGUUGUUGGAGAAGAAUGGUCGGCAGAGUAACUGUUGUCGGCGUGACGGUAUCCAACCAGAAAGCCACGGCUAACUACGUGCCAGCAGCCGCGGUAAAUUUUAAC
rnacentral:rRNA from 2 species